GAGACGCAUUAACCCGGCGUUAACGGUUAAUAGUGUCUAAUCACCAUGUCCGGAGCUUCUGGACGAUUGCAGACUGACUGCUGGUCACUCUGUUUGACGCCUCCCUGUUAAAACUCUCGAGAGCCGCUUCUGCGGCUCUUUUUUU
rnacentral:sRNA from 1 species